CCUACGUGGCGCAGCAGUCGAGAAUCAUUCACAAUGGGCGAAACCCUGCUGGCGCGACGCCGCGUGGGGGAAUGAAGGUCUUCGGAUUGUAAACCCCUGUUAUGUGGGAGCAAAUUAACAAGAUUGUACCACAAGAGGAAGAGCCGGCUAACUCUGUGCCAGCAGCCGCGGUAAUACAGAGGUCUCAAGCGUUGUGCGGAAUCACUGGGGGUAAAGCGUGCGUAGGCUGUUUCGUAAGUCGUGUGUGAAAGGCGCGGGCGCAAGCCGCGGACGGCACAUGAUACUGCGAGACUAGAGUUAUGGAGAGGUAAGCGGAAUGCGCGGUGUAGCAGUGAAAUGCGUAGAUAUCGAGAAGAACACUCGUGGCGAAGGCAGGUUCCUGGACAUUAACUGACGCUGAGGCACGAAGGCCAGGGGAGCGAAAGGGAUUAGAUACCCUUGUAGUC
rnacentral:rRNA from 1 species